GAGUUUGAUCCUGGCUCAGAUUGAACGCUGGCGGCAUGCCUUACACAUGCAAGUCGAACGGCAGCACGGAGCUUGCUCUGGUGGCGAGUGGCGAACGGGUGAGUAAUAUAUCGGAACGUACCCUAGAGUGGGGGAUAACGUAGCGAAAGUUACGCUAAUACCGCAUACGAUCUAAGGAUGAAAGUGGGGGAUCGCAAGGCCUCAUGCUCGUGGAGCGGCCGAUAUCUGAUAGCUAGUUGGUAGGGUAAAAGCCUACCAAGGCAUCGAUCAGUAGCUGGUCUGAGAGGACGACCAGCCACACUGGAACUGAGACACGGUCCAGACUCCUACGGGAGGCAGCAGUGGGGAAUUUUGGACAAUGGGCGCAAGCCUGAUCCAGCAAUGCCGCGUGAGUGAAGAAGGCCUUCGGGUUGUAAAGCUCUUUUGUCAGGGAAGAAACGGUGGGAGCUAAUAUCUCCUGCUAAUGACGGUACCUGAAGAAUAAGCACCGGCUAACUACGUGCCAGCAGCCGCGGUAAUACGUAGGGUGCAAGCGUUAAUCGGAAUUACUGGGCGUAAAGCGUGCGCAGGCGGUUUUGUAAGUCUGAUGUGAAAUCCCCGGGCUCAACCUGGGAAUUGCAUUGGAGACUGCAAGGCUAGAAUCUGGCAGAGGGGGGUAGAAUUCCACGUGUAGCAGUGAAAUGCGUAGAUAUGUGGAGGAACACCGAUGGCGAAGGCAGCCCUCUGGGUCAAGAUUGACGCUCAUGCACGAAAGCGUGGGGAGCAAACAGGAUUAGAUACCCUGGUAGUCCACGCCCUAAACGAUGUCUACUAGUUGUCGGGUCUUAAUUGACUUGGUAACGCAGCUAACGCGUGAAGUAGACCGCCUG
rnacentral:rRNA from 1 species